UACGGGGGGAACGAGCGUUGUUCGGAUUUACUGGGCGUAAAGGGCACGCAGGCGGGGAGACAAGUCAGAUGUGAAAACCCAUAGCUUAACUCUGGGCCUGCAUUUGAUACUGUUUCUCUUGAGUACGGGAGAGGAUGGCGGAAUUCUUGGUGUAGCGGUGAAAUGCGUAGAUAUCAAGAAGAACACCGGUGGCGAAGGCGGCCAUCUGGCCCGAUACUGACGCUCAUGUGCGAAGGCAAGGGGAGCAAACAGG
rnacentral:rRNA from 1 species